CAGAUACCUAGGUGAGAUGGUGUUUCCAGAGGGAAGAAGUGAUCUCUGGGGUCAAAUGCCGCUGAGAAGCCAAAGGCCACAAGGACAGAGACAUGUCCACAAGGAGGAGGCAUAGGAAGGGUAUUUGUAACCUUGACAAGACAGAAAUCAGACUGUAGUAGGCAAGAAAUGAUGGCAGUGGGGAGGAAGAAGAUGGAGCCAGCUUCUGCAGAAGUGGAGUUGACAGGACCA
rnacentral:lncRNA from 10 species